GGGGAUGUAGCUUAAUGGAAAAGUUCAUACUUUGCAAGUAUGCAGAUAUCGGUUCGAAUCCGGUUGUCUCCA
rnacentral:tRNA from 1 species